rnacentral:rRNA from 1 species
GGGUUGUGAGGUUAAGCGACUAAGCGUACACGGUGGAUGCCCUGGCAGUCAGAGGCGAUGAAGGACGUGCUAAUCUGCGAUAAGCGUCGGUAAGGUGAUAUGAACCAUUAUAACCGGCGAUUUCCGAAUGGGGAAACCCAGUGUGAUUCGUCACACUAUCAUUAACUGAAUCCAUAGGUUAAUGAGGCGAACCGGGGGAACUGAAACAUCUAAGUACCCCGAGGAAAAGAAAUCAACCGAGAUUCCCCCAGUAGCGGCGAGCGAACGGGGAGCAGCCCAGAGCCUGAAUCAGUGUGUGUGUUAGUGGAAGCGUCUGGAAAGGCGUGCGAUACAGGGUGACAGCCCCGUACACAAAAAUGCACAUAUUGUGAGCUCGAUGAGUAGGGCGGGACACGUGGUAUCCUGUCUGAAUAUGGGGGGACCAUCCUCCAAGGCUAAAUACUCCUGACUGACCGAUAGUGAACCAGUACCGUGAGGGAAAGGCGAAAAGAACCCCGGCGAGGGGAGUGAAAAAGAACCUGAAACCGUGUACGUACAAGCAGUGGGAGCACGCUUAGGCGUGUGACUGCGUACCUUUUGUAUAAUGGGUCAGCGACUUAUAUUCUGUAGCAAGGUUAACCGAAUAGGGGAGCCGAAGGGAAACCGAGUCUUAACUGGGCGUUAAGUUGCAGGGUAUAGACCCGAAACCCGGUGAUCUAGCCAUGGGCAGGUUGAAGGUUGGGUAACACUAACUGGAGGACCGAACCGACUAAUGUUGAAAAAUUAGCGGAUGACUUGUGGCUGGGGGUGAAAGGCCAAUCAAACCGGGAGAUAGCUGGUUCUCCCCGAAAGCUAUUUAGGUAGCGCCUCGUGAAUUCAUCUCCGGGGGUAGAGCACUGUUUCGGCAAGGGGGUCAUCCCGACUUACCAACCCGAUGCAAACUGCGAAUACCGGAGAAUGUUAUCACGGGAGACACACGGCGGGUGCUAACGUCCGUCGUGAAGAGGGAAACAACCCAGACCGCCAGCUAAGGUCCCAAAGUCAUGGUUAAGUGGGAAACGAUGUGGGAAGGCCCAGACAGCCAGGAUGUUGGCUUAGAAGCAGCCAUCAUUUAAAGAAAGCGUAAUAGCUCACUGGUCGAGUCGGCCUGCGCGGAAGAUGUAACGGGGCUAAACCAUGCACCGAAGCUGCGGCAGCGACGCUGAUGCGUUGUUGGGUAGGGGAGCGUUCUGUAAGCCUGUGAAGGUGUGCUGUGAGGUAUGCUGGAGGUAUCAGAAGUGCGAAUGCUGACAUAAGUAACGAUAAAGCGGGUGAAAAGCCCGCUCGCCGGAAGACCAAGGGUUCCUGUCCAACGUUAAUCGGGGCAGGGUGAGUCGACCCCUAAGGCGAGGCCGAAAGGCGUAGUCGAUGGGAAACAGGUUAAUAUUCCUGUACUUGGUGUUACUGCGAAGGGGGGACGGAGAAGGCUAUGUUGGCCGGGCGACGGUUGUCCCGGUUUAAGCGUGUAGGCUGGUUUUCCAGGCAAAUCCGGAAAACUAAGGCUGAGGCGUGAUGACGAGGCACUACGGUGCUGAAGCAACAAAUGCCCUGCUUCCAGGAAAAGCCUCUAAGCAUCAGGUAACAUCAAAUCGUACCCCAAACCGACACAGGUGGUCAGGUAGAGAAUACCAAGGCGCUUGAGAGAACUCGGGUGAAGGAACUAGGCAAAAUGGUGCCGUAACUUCGGGAGAAGGCACGCUGAUAUGUAGGUGAAGUCCCUCGCGGAUGGAGCUGAAAUCAGUCGAAGAUACCAGCUGGCUGCAACUGUUUAUUAAAAACACAGCACUGUGCAAACACGAAAGUGGACGUAUACGGUGUGACGCCUGCCCGGUG